AUGAACGCUAGCGACAGGCCUAACACAUGCAAGUCGAGGGGCAGCACAAGGAGCAAUCUGAGGUGGCGACCGGCGCACGGGUGAGUAACACGUAUGCAACCUGCCUGUAAGAGGGGAAUAACCCGUUGAAAGACGGACUAAUACCGCAUAAUACUAAAUUACUGCAUGGUAAUUUAUUUAAACAUUUAUGGCUUACAGAUGGGCAUGCGCAUGAUUAGCUAGUUGGAGAGGUAACGGCUCCCCAAGGCAACGAUCAUUAGGGGUUCUGAGAGGAAGGUCCCCCACACUGGUACUGAGACACGGACCAGACUCCUACGGGAGGCAGCAGUGAGGAAUAUUGGUCAAUGGACGAGAGUCUGAACCAGCCAAGUCGCGUGCAGGAAGAAUGUCCCUAUGGAUUGUAAACUGCUUUUGCAGGGGAAUAAAGUGCAUCACGUGUGAUGUUUUGUAUGUACUCUGCGAAUAAGGAUCGGCUAACUCCGUGCCAGCCGCCGC
rnacentral:rRNA from 1 species